rnacentral:rRNA from 1 species
UACGGAGGGUGCAAGCGUUAAUCGGAAUUACUGGGCGUAAAGCGUGCGUAGACGGUUAUAUAAGUCGGAUGUGAAAGCCCCGGGCUCAACCUGGGAAUUGCAUUCGAGACUGCAUAGCUAGGGUGCGGAAGAGGGAAGCGGAAUUUCGGGUGUAGCGGUGAAAUGCGUAGAUAUGCGGAGGAACACCGAUGGCGAAGGCAAUCCCCUGGGCCUGCACUGACGCUCAUGCACGAAAGCGUGGGGAGCAAACAGG